rnacentral:tRNA from 1 species
GUUCUUGUAGUUGAAUUACAACGGUGGUUUUUCAAGUCACUGGUUUCGGUUAGAAUCCGAGCGGGAAUU